UGGCCUCGAAAGUCCGUCGGGAAAUCCACACGCCCAACGUGUGGGCGUCCGGCGGAAACUCCGAGGCUUGGGACCGGAAGGCUCGAGGGGUACGUCCGGGGUAGGAGUGAAAUCCCGUAAUCCCGGACGGACCACCGAUGGCGAAAGCACCUCGAGAAAACGGAUCCGACAGUGAGGGACGAAAGCUAGGGUCUCGAACCGGAUUAGAUACCCGGGUAGUCCUAGCCGUAAACGAUGUUCGCUAGGUGUGACACAGGCUACGCGCCUGUGUUGUGCCGUAGGGAAGCCGAGAAGCGAACCGCCUGGGAA
rnacentral:rRNA from 1 species